rnacentral:lncRNA from 1 species
CAGAUUUCUGAGGGAGGAUGGCCCUGCCAACAGCUUGGUCUCAGACUUCUAGACUCCAGAAAGCAGUUUUAGGAGAGGGAGUAAAUCCAGUCUCUUGUUUCUUCAUCUCGAGAGAAAGCAGAAAUCUGUCCUGGAGUACUCUGGUGUGGUGCUACCACGCAGAUGCGUGCUUCUAGGACAACCUGCAGAGGCUCUGAGCUAGGAUUCCAGAGACGCUGAAAUGAAGACGACACAGUCAUCAUCUGGUUGGGGAGAGAGAUACAUAAAACAAACAGAAGAUAAUGUGGCAAAUACAUUCAGAGAUAGACUCAGUGCUUCAGCUGCCCUGCCCUGGGGGAUCCAGUUCUACUGCGGAGCUCCUGGGGGUCCUGGAUGGGCUGGACCCUGAUCCUUCUGGACAGCUGAGAUCUAACAGGUGUGCGAUCCUUCACUGAAGCCCAAGGAAAGCAGAUGACCUUGGGCAAGUUAAUCCACCUCACUGGGCCUCACACCCAUAAAGCCAAAAGGCUCUGUUUUUAUAUAUCUAUAAAAGAAAUUUUAAGCACUAGGCUAGAUGUUGUCAAGGGUCCCUUCCAGCUUUCAGGAGCUAUUCCAUAUCUUUCUGAAACCCAGGAAGGAAGGUUGUCAGGAGUCCAUUCUGAGUCAGAGGCCAGCCUUGACUUCGUAAUGAGGAUUUGGAAUCAAUUUUCCAAAUGGAACUAAACCAGUAGCCUGCUCACUGGCAUAAAGCCUUCUCACCCUGGAUGGAAGGAGAGUUGGUCACAAGGCCAUUUGUAGCUCACAAAAAUUCCCACCAACUCAGUAAUCUACAGCACCAACCACACAGAGCCUAAAUUUAGCUUCCCUGAAAAGAAAACUUACUUUACCAAAAAUUAUAUUUGGAAGUCUUUGUGAGAUAGACUGAUUCUCCCAAAUCAGUUCAGAACCAGGCAAAAAAUCCUUGGUCUGAGAAUUAGGAGGCAAAUGAAAUUGUGAGGAUUAAGGAGCAAAGUGAAUAUGCCUUAAGUAUUCACUAAGCAAGUGAAUAUCCCUUUGAUUUCUCUCACAAGACCCAAGAUGGUGGAGAGACAAAAGGGAGGGCCAGGGGUGGUCUGAAGCCACCUCAAAGGGCUCACAGAGGUAGGGAUGGUCUCUACUCAAUUCUUCCAUCAUUGCUGAAAAACCGAAGGUGCCGAUCGUGUCAGGAUCCAGAGAGAAGUAACAGAAGGAGUAAAUACGCUGAGCCAGGAAAAAGCCCGGUGCUCUAAAUGCAGAAAGGCCAGAGUGGCUCAAGCAAAGUGAAUGGAAGGACGAUGGAACGAGGCUGAGAUGAGAGAGGCCAGCAGGCCCAGAUCCUGUGGGGUUCUGAGGCUCAGGGGAGGGGUUCGGGAGUGCGUGUGCAAACACACAGGGGUGUGCGUGUGUGUGUGUGUGUGUGUGUGUGUGUGUGUGUGUUUUGAGAGAAAGGAAUGAACGUGAUCUGACGUGUUUAAAAGGUCGCUCUUGGGGAUAAGGGUGACCAAUUACGAGACCAUAAAAUAAACCAGGCAGGAGGUAAAGAUGACUUGGGUUAGGGUAGUGUUAAAAGAUAAACUGAGGCAAAUUUAAAAUUUUAAGAGUUUAUUUGAGCAAAAUUCGAUUAUUCGAAUCAGGCAUCAGCAAACAGGGAGUAGUCAGGAGCACUCCACUGCCAGGCACUGAGGAGAGACCUACCGAGAGAAGGCGGGAGCAAACCAAGGAAAUCAUUGGCUCAGCUCAAAGCCUAGCUGGCUGUUUGUGAUUGGUUGUCCUUAGCGUUUCAUUUUUGUAACCUUGAGCCAUUUACGGGCUCAGAUUUGGGUUUGCUGAUAUAGGCCACCACAGCAUGACAGCCCCCUCAGUCUAGUGGCCUCUGGUUUAAUUAAUUUAACAGUAGCUACAGUGGGAGAGGUGCCAAGGGGGCCUAUUUGGGCAAUAGCAUGAAAGUAGGUAACAACAUUAUGUUGUAUAUUUGAAAGUUGCUAAGAGAGUAAAUCUUAAAACUUCCUAUCACAAGGCAAAAAAAUUUGUACCUCUGUGGUGUGAUGGAUGUUAACUAAACCUAUUGUGUUGAUCAUUUUGCAAUAUAUACAUAUGUCAGAUCAUUAUGCUGUACACUUAAAGCCAAUACAAUGUUAUGUGUCAAUUAUAUCUCAAUAAAAUUGGAAAAAAAUUUAAAAUAAAAUAAUUUCUAAAAGAAAGUAGA